rnacentral:rRNA from 1 species
GUUCGUAGUGACCUGCGGAGGAUCAUUAUCGAAUUCAAUCUCAAGGGGAAAAUAACAGGUAGAGGAGGACUGUCGCUGGCUGGGGCUGGAACUUCUCCCAGUGUCCCGUUGCACGUGCACGUCCCCCUCGCCUUUUUCCCCUUACUCUACUACACACACCUGUGCACCUUUUGUAGAUCGAUCCCCUCUUUCGAAGGGGGAGGGGAAGGAAUCUAUGUCUUUACAUAUUAUAUCACACCAUGUCGUAUGGCCAGAAUGAAAGGAUGAAUGUCAUUAUACAACUUUCAGCAACGGAUCUCUUGGCUCUCGCAUCGAUGAAGAACGCAGCGAAUUGCGAUAAGUAAUGUGAAUUGCAGAUUUCCAGUGAAUCAUCGAAUCUUUGAACGCAUCUUGCGCUCCUUGGUAUUCCGAGGAGCAUGCCUGUUUGAGUGUCCUUUAAAUCUCAACCAUCCUCUCUUCGAGUAUGGCUUGGAAUUGGGGGUUGCUGGCAGAGGGAACUGUCAGCUCUCCUUAAACGCAUUAGCGAUCAAGUCCGGCUAGUCUUCGACGUGCACGGCCUUUUGGCGUGAUAAUGAUCGUCAUGGCUGGAGCGUCUUUCCUAAUGGACUAUGCAGAUACAUGAGAUCGCUUCAAAUGAGGAAGUCUAUCUAUCGAGCUUUAGCUACUAGGCGGUCCUCGCGAGGGCUGGCGAAUGCAAGGUCGAUCUGACUUGACGUUUUAAAUUUUUGACCUCAAAUCAGGUAGGACUACCCGCUGAACUUAAGCAUAUCAAUAAGCCGGAGGAA